ensembl:lncRNA
UUAAUAGCUUUACAGUUACAAGCCCCAAAACUGUUUCCUAUUAAUGCUGAUUUAUUUUCUACUUACAUCUCUCUUCUCAGGUGGCAAAAUGUCUGGAGCCUCAUCUUGAAGAGCCUUGGAAGGGCCAAAAAGGUUCUUCCUUUUCCAGGUCACUGCCAGGUUUUAGAAGACACAGUUUUUCAGCAUCUGAAGCAGGAAAUCCCAGCUCUUUUCCAUGAGAAGAAGCACAGGGAUGACAGGGCUUCCCCCCAGAACACUCCCGGGGUAAUUGCUGAAGACAUUCCAAGCCACUCUAACGAAGUGCACUGUCUGCCAGUCAUUCUGUUCUCCUUGGAAGACCAUCUGUUGCACUUCAAAUAUGUAAAGGAAUACUUGGAUUCUGGUAACCUGAGGUGGAUGUUUUCUGAGAAACACCCCCUGUGUGAAUGUUCUGCUCUCCCAUUUACCCCAGACGUAUUUUACACAUACUUCUAGUACAGUUUACAGCACAUGUCUGGGUAAUUUUGCAGUGAUCUGAUCGUGUGGUUAAAGCCAGGUAGGCAAUUUUUACAGCAAUGAUAGUUUUAAUCUUCUUUUUUGUAAUUGUUUGAUAGCAGUGACUAACACAGCCUUGGUGGCUCUGGGCACCUCGCCAUUCUUAGGUAGUUUAAUUUGUUAAAAAUUAUCUUCCCUCCCACCCAAAUCCCCUUGAAACCACUUGGAGAGGAGAAGUGUUGAAUUGUUGCCAAUAAUAAGUCCUGCUGAGACCUCUGUAUCCUCCUGAUAGAACUGCUGGUGCCAACCAGGGACUGACUGGCACAGGUUUGAACUCUCCACUGCUUGAUAGAUCUGCUUCACAUGGACCAAUUACAACAAUUCCCACCUCUGGAGCUGAAGUCGAAGCCCUUGGUCUUCCCUUCAUACCUCAGGAGGCUUUAUUUCCCAGAUAGCUCCUACAGUAUUCAAAGGGCAAGUGAUAUCCAAGAUCCAAAAUUUGCCAAGCAUGGAUAUGAGUGUUCUCCAUCGUGUCUUCCUGCUCUGUAGGGCCGUACGUGGAAUUGGGAAAGGUGGUGGCUCCCAGUCAGGACAGCCUGGUAUUACUCCUUUGGGACCGGUGACUUCCCAACCUCUCUCCACGCGGGACGAUAAUCGCGCUAACGACGGCAGCGGCGCCGGAACUUCCGAGGUCUUGGUGUGGCCCUGGGCGGCCUUGGAGGAGCAUGUUUGGAGUGAAUCCUCCUCUUGCCAUGGUACUCAUGUGCAGCCACCAUGGAGAAAACCAUCUGUUCCCCUUGGAAGGGGGUUUGGUUCCCCAUGCCCUCCCCCGAUCCCGCUCCGUCCCCAGCUGCCGUGUUUCGACGAGCAGGGAACGAAUCCCCUGCGUUAAAAAUACUCUGGGUCUAUUUAGAUGAAAAGAACCUUGCUUGCCUACACUGACAUGCAAAAAUAGGCUCAGUGUGAGUAAAUCUUCAAACUUUCUUUUGGUGAAAAUACCCAGCCUGGCUUUUUUUUUUUUUUUUUUUUUUUUAACUUCUAUGAUAAGUUUAUUUAUAGAGUGUCCUUCUUUCCUCCUACUCCAUCAAGACAUUUGCAGGAGGUUGUCGCUCGUCUUGUUCAGGAGUCCUGAAAUAAUUUGCAGGGCCUUUGAAACAUCAUCAUGUUGCACAGUUGUGAUGCAUCGUGCUGCUGUUGCACCAACGUAUCAUAUUUUAGUGUGAAUGUCACGUUAACUGAGACAUUCCGGCCUUCCUUUUACUCCAGGUGCCUUACACUGGUUUGUAUUUUCAUUUUAACUCUGCAGUCAAAAAAUUCUGCGUAUAUAUAGUAACUUAAAAUUUUCCAUUCUACAUGCAAGGCAUUGCAUAGAAAAAUUAAUGUGUAAUAUGAGAAGAUUAACAGGAUGCAUAUACUUUCCAAAUAUCUCUUAAAAAUAGCUUUCACUGUCACUGUAGCAUCUUAAUUCUGAAUAAUCUCACAGUCCUUUUGCAAAUCUGUGCAUAUAGUAACAGAGUAACCACCUACUUCAUCCUCUUGAACUGCACAAUAUGUAUCUGGGCAUGAAAAAAACUGCAUUUUGGAGUAUGUUCUGCUUUGGCAGAGAGGAUGGCUGUGGGACUAGUGAGAGCAGUAAUGCCUGCGUUAAAUAUUAAUGCCAGCAUUCCCAAUACCUGCCUAUCUUUUUAAAAAGGCUCCAAGAUUCUGAGUGUGGAAUUUGCUCCACAGUGCAAAGCACCAGCACAAAUCUUGGGAAGCCUCUGCCAAGAGGUGGAAGUUGUGGAAAGGGAGCCAGGGUGGGUGUUCCC